rnacentral:sRNA from 1 species
UCAGGGCAUAGGGUAUCUCACCCGAAAAGCGGAUUCUCUUGCCGCCUGGCCCUGGGUUGACUUAAGGA